GAUGAACGCUGGCGGUGUGCCUAAUACAUGCAAGUCGAGCGAACAGACGAGGAGCUUACUCCUCUGACGUUAGCGGCGGACGGGUGAGUAACACGUGGAUAACCUACCUAUAAGACUGGGAUAACUUCGGGAAACCGGAGCUAAUACCGGAUAACAUGUUGAACCGCAUGGUUCAACAGUGAAAGACGGUCUUGCUGUCACUUAUAGAUGGAUCCGCGUCGCAUUAGCUAGUUGGUAAGGUAACGGCUUACCAAGGCAACGAUGCGUAGCCGACCUGAGAGGGUGAUCGGCCACACUGGAACUGAGACACGGUCCAGACUCCUACGGGAGGCAGCAGUAGGGAAUCUUCCGCGAAGGGCGAAAGCCUGACGGAGCAACGCCGCGUGAGUGAAGAAGGUCUUCGGAUCGUAAAACUCUGUUAUUAGGGAAGAACAAAUGUGUAAGUAACUAUGCACGUCUUGACGGUACCUAAUCAGAAAGCCACGGCUAACUACGUG
rnacentral:rRNA from 1 species